rnacentral:rRNA from 1 species
GAGACAGCAGUCGCCGCGGUAAAACGGAGGGUGCAAGCGUUAAUCGGAAUUACUGGGCGUAAAGCGUGCGUAGGCGGUUCGUUAAGUCUGUUGUGAAAGCCCCGGGCUCAACCUGAGAAUGGCAAUGGAUACUGGCGAGCUAGAGUGCGUCAGAGGAUGGUGGAAUUCCCGGUGUAGCGGUGAAAUGCGUAGAGAUCGGGAGGAACAUCAGUGGCGAAGGCGGCCAUCUGGGACAACACUGACGCUGAGGCACGAAAGCGUGGGGAGCAAACAGGAUUAGAUACCCCUGUAGUCCCUGUCUCUUAUAC